rnacentral:rRNA from 1 species
ACUCCUACGGGAGGCAGCAGUGGGGAAUAUUGCACAAUGGGCGCAAGCCUGAUGCAGCCAUGCCGCGUGUGUGAAGAAGGCCUUCGGGUUGUAAAGCACUUUCAGUCGUGAGGAAGGUAGUGUAGUUAAUAGCUGCAUUAUUUGACGUUAGCGACAGAAGAAGCACCGGCUAACUCCGUGCCAGCAGCCGCGGUAAUACGGAGGGUGCGAGCGUUAAUCGGAAUUACUGGGCGUAAAGCGCAUGCAGGUGGUUUGUUAAGUCAGAUGUGAAAGCCCGGGGCUCAACCUCGGAAUAGCAUUUGAAACUGGCAGACUAGAGUACUGUAGAGGGGGGUAGAAUUUCAGGUGUAGCGGUGAAAUGCGUAGAGAUCUGAAGG